UUCCGGNUGAUCCNGCCGGAGGUNACCGCUUUCGAGGUUCGACUAAGCCAUGCGAGUCGAAUGCCGCAAGGCAUGGCGUACUGCUCAGUAACACGUGGACAACCUACCCUUAGGACUGGGAUAACCCCGGGAAACUGGGAAUAAUCCCCGAUAGUCCUCGAAGGCUGGAAUGCAUCGAGGGCGAAAGCUCCGGCGCCUAAGGAUGGGUCUGCGGCCUAUCAGGUAGUAGUGGGUGUAGCGUACCUACUAGCCUACGACGGGUACGGGUUGUGAGAGCAAGAGCCCGGAGAUGGAUUCUGAGACACGAAUCCAGGCCCUACGGGGUGCAGCAGGCGCGAAAACUUUACAAUGCUGGCAACAGCGAUAAGGGAACCUCGAGUGCCAGGUUACAAAUCUGGCUGUCGAGAUGCCUAAAAAGCAUUUCAUAGCAAGGGCCGGGCAAGACCGGUGCCAGCCGCCGCGGUAACACCGGCGGCUCGAGUGGUAACCGUUAUUAUUGGGUCUAAAGGGUCUGUAGCCGGCCGGAUAAGUCUCUUGGGAAAUCUGGCAGCUCAACUGUCAGGCUAUCAGGAGAUACUGUCUGGCUCGAGGCCGGGAGAGGUGAGAGGUACUUCAGGGGUAGGGGUGAAAUCUUGUAAUCCUUGAAGGACCACCAGUGGCGAAGGCGUCUCACCAGAACGGACCUGACGGCAAGGGACGAAAGCUAGGGGCAC
rnacentral:rRNA from 1 species